UCGGGAGUUCCGUACGUAAAUGCGAGCGAGUGUUAAUUAACGCGUGCAAUCGUAAUCAGUUGUGUUUUUCCGAUUGAAUCGUAUCUGCGCAUUGUGAGUGUUUGAAGCAACGAUUGUUCCAGCGAUAGACGAGAAGGCGGCGACAACGAAUCAGCAUCCAUGAACUUUGUGUGUUUGAUGCUACGAAUCGUAUUCGUUCCGUCAUAACAAAAUAUGAAUCGGGAGUGCCGUUAAUGCCGGGAGUGUCGUGAUAGUUUCGCGCGAGUACGAAACGCCGUACUUUAGCGAAUCGUAUAGACGAACGCAUUUCCGCCGAAUGAUAAACAUUGGGACAUGAUCAAACUUUCUUCAAGAGGCUUCUCGAGUGUGCGCUUGAUUCGAGAAAGGGGAAAAUCGGUUUUUAUUAUGAGAUCCCGACUGAGUUUUUGCUCUCUGUUUUGAGAUAAUCGUGCCACAACUAGUAAAUACGAUCGUCUGAAACGCGGACGGGAUUUGCGCGUAACGUCGCAUCUUGAACGAGUCGGCUCGAUUUGCCUGCGACGUCGGGAGUGCCGUUUAAAGUGUCGCGCGAUUUUUGUAUUCGGAUACGCGCGCGAGCAAUGUGCGCCUCGCGAUGCGUGUGAGUGCUUGAAGGACCACUGAGAGGAGGUGGAGGCCUAGGAGGCAUCGGGCGACGGCAGAACAACGUUGCGAAUUCAGAGGUGUGCUGUAUCUUUCCGAAGCCGGCAGCUUUUAUGAAGUCAACAGCUUGGUGAGUCUUAUUAUAAUGUAAAUUUGAAUAUCAUAUUAGAGAACGUAAAAUGAAGCGAUUCAAUAACCGCAUAAUAAUGCAAUUGAUAUCGUAAUUUCCCUUCGUUGCUUAGUGAACCGCUUUUUUUGCAACGAAAUUAAAUUGUCCGAUAUACAUUUAAAUAAGAAAUAUAAUUUCGAUGAAAAUAAAAUUAUAAUAGAUAGGUAAUUGAAAAUUAUGAAAAUUAAAUUAAACGUAUGAUUAAAUGCGAUCUCCACAUAAAUAAAUAAUUAAUCGCGGAUAUCAGAAAUGAAAUGUAGCAAACGUCUCAACUAUUAUGCGUCACGCUUAACGAGAUCUUUGAAUGAUUUAAUCUUUAGGCAUCGCUCCGCGCGUUAGCGGAAUGAACUCGUUUGUGAAUACGCAAGGAUCUGUUAAGUGCUCAUGUUUCGCUCGGAGUUCAAUCAUUUAAGCCGCGUCGUGUUACAUUUUAAACGUCGCCGCGUUAAGUUUGCUCGAACCGAGAUACUGCGAGAAACGUGCACUAUCUUCUACACUCGUCGCUUAACUUCCAACGGAAAGAGUGUUUUAGCAUUAAAAUAUCAUUUUCCAUGGGAUUCUUGAAACGCCGUCCAGAUCUUAAGUCACGUUCGCUCCGGAAGCGAGACGUCUCCUCCCGAAUGCGUUCCAAGCGAUUUUACAUUCCGAUUUACUAGAAAUUACGUCUACAUCAGCGCAGAGAUUCCGUUUGAAAAAUGUGCAAGAAAUAUUCCUGAAUUUCGAGAAACUUUAUUUAAAUACGCAGCGGGAGUAUGUCCGAAUUGCGGAAAAUGGCACUUUUAUAUAGAUAUAGGUGGGCGGAUUUUCCGUGAAAAAUGCUGAUAUUUUUCCCGCUAGAUAUGGCAUGGCUCGACGUAUUUUACGAUUAAUCCAGAUAGUAUUUUUUUUAUCAGCCGUAUUUUUCUGACCUAACAUAAAACUCGAGCGUGAUACUAUCUGUUCCGUUACGUUCCAAAAGUAACAACCUAGCCAGCGAGGUUUUAAUUUAUGAAUCAAAUUUAUUUGAACAUCUUUAUACUGUACGUACAACGUUAAAACAACAUAAUUUGAUCAAUCAAACGAACUAAUUAAGUAAUUCUACUAAAAGUUUCAACUUUUAUAACUUUUGAUUUAAAUGUUUUAGUAUU